AAAAUCUGCAACUAAAACUGGACAACAAAGAACCGUGCCAUAAAAAUCCAAGGGACAGACACACAAUAAUCAGAGUUCUAUAUGAAGCUGUGGCACAGUAUACUAUGUAUCCCACAAAUUCUGAAUAUGUGCAAGCUGUGAAGACGCUGGUAAUGAAGUAUCCUUUCCUCAAGGAUCGUGAGGGAAAUGGUUAUGGACCAUGCGUCCAAGGAGAGGAUUUAUUAUCCAUAGACGCCCACUUAAAGGUCUUACAGUGCCAAUAUCAGAAGAUGCAACCAGAUACCAUGGUGGUUCAUAACCGUAUGCAGCAAACGUUUGCUUGGCGGCAAAAAGAAAUUGCAGAUGGUAUGCCUGUGGAGGAUGUGUUGAAGAAGUACCCCUUCUUAGGGAUGCCUACUGGUCUGUGCAACGAACUCGGGUGGAUCCAACCAACAACGGGUAAUGUAAGCCAGCGAUUUCGUGAAGGGCUCUCAUGUGUUGCAGCAAAGGUGAUUGACCUUACAUGAGGGAAAACCCCACUUUACCAGCUCUACCUUGAUGCAAGAGAGGAGGCUCUCACUGAUGACCUACCAGAUCUUGACACAAGGGCUGCACUUUUAUUCCUGCCAUACGUCUUCAAGGAGAAACUGGAUCUCUUUGUCAUACUUGGAGAGGUUCAUCCUAAAACCCC